GAAGUUGUAGUCGCCGAAGACCCACAGAGAGGUCACGGCCACCUCGAAGGAGACUGGCCAGAACAGGGUCAAGGGAACCUCAUGGGGCACAAAAGCGGAGAGUCACUGCGCGGCAAUCAACAUUGAAUAACUAGCCGGCAGUUCAAGGCUGCGCCGGCUCCUCCGCCCCGCGCGCCAGCCGUCCUGCCGGCUUUGGAAAGUGUUGCCUGGCUUCCCCGCCACUCUCCGCCAACGCGCAAACAGCCGCGCCGCGCCCUUCUUCGCUUUUCCAACCGCGCCGCGGGCUGCAUCUGGCCGGGAUUUCCUCUUCGGGGAAAGUGCGUGGAAGCUGGGCGAAGCCGCCGCGCCGCGUUCCCGCCCCUUUCCUUCGCCUCCCUCUCCCUCGCGGAGUCGGUCUCCCUCGGCCGCUCCGGUCCUGGGAAAAACAGGGACUCUCUUGGCUGGAGCCGUCAUGUGACCCGACUGGGCUGCCUGGAUCGGCGCCGCACCAUGAGGGAACUGGGGGCUGGGCAGAGCGCGAGCCGGCGCCGGGUAGCGCCCCGGGGGCUCUUGCUCCCUCGCCUCUUCUGCCUGCUCCUGCUUUGGACCAAAGAGAGUGCCGCGCUGGCGGACUUCUCAGGUUACCUAACCAAACUCCUGCGAAACCAUACUGUGUAUGCCUGUGAUGGUGAUCAUUUGAGUCUCCGGUGUCCUCGGCAUUCAACAAUAAGUGUCCAAUCUGCAUAUUAUGGGCAAGCUUACCACUUGUGUAGUGCACAACAACCUGAAGUCAUGGUGAAAGAGCCACUAAACUGUGUGGCAUCUACUACCUUGCAGAAAGUCCUCGAUGAAUGCCAGGACCUGAGAGACUGCCAACUCCUUGUUAACAGUCGACUUUUUGGAUCUGAGUUAUGUCCAGGAGUCACUAAAUACCUCCUAGUCUCAUUUAAGUGCCGACCUAGUGAAUAUAAAACUAGAUCAGUGUGUGAAAAUGAAGAACUGAAACUACACUGCCAUGAAUCGAAAUUCCUUAACAUCUAUUCAGCCUCUUAUGGCAGGUCUGCCCACGAGAUGGACUUCUGUUCAACAAAAAUGGAUUACCUUCCCCAAUAUGAUUGUUUUUCCUAUUCAGCUUUAGAAGUCUUGUCGAAGAAGUGCUAUGGAAAGCAAAGGUGUAAAAUUAUUGCUAACAGUCAUAACUUUGGAAGACCAUGCAUGCCUGGAGUGAAAAAAUACCUCAAUGUCAGCUAUGCAUGCGUCCCAAGAUUCAUAUUGGCAGCAGUUAAUCCAGUGGUUACCAUACUCCCUCCCUCUUGGAAGCCAAAAGAAGAUGAAUAUGAUAUAGAUUUUGAUCCAAAAGAAUCAAGAAUUCCAAAGAAGGAAGGAAUUAUAAUUAGCAGCAGUUUGGCUACAUUUGCAUACAUUAGAGAUCACCUUGAAAGAGCUGCUCUCUUGUUUGUGUCUAGUGUUUGCGUUGGCCUAAUGCUCACACUUUGUGCUCUGAUAAUGCACAUUUCUUGCUGCGAUGAUGUGAUAAAGCUACGGAGGAUGAAAAAGCAUCUGGUGCUAGAAAAUCAGAAGGCUGAUGGAAACAAUGAUGAGGAGGAAGAAGAGGAAGAGGAAGAGAGAGGGGAAUCUUCUGAUUCAGAUUUUACUGAUGAACUAACAGGCUUAUGCAGGACUUCCUAUUCAGCUUAUUGUUCCCUGGAUGCAGCCGAAUUGGCUGAAAGGAUAGAGCGGCGAGAACAGAUCAUGCAAGAAAUCUGGUUGAACAGUGGCUUGGAAGCAUCUCCUACUAGAAGCUUCAGUCCAUUCUAUAUCAAUGAACAGCAGUGCAUUUGUUUUGGAUAACAUGCACCUCUUUUCUUAAACUACCUUCUGUGAAGGAUCAUCUGCAAUUUGCAACCUAUAAUGGAGUUCCAAGAAAUAAAUAAUGUAAGCGGAAAUUUUGAAAAUGAAAAGAAAAAACAGUCCUCGACUUACGACCAUUACUGAGCCCAAAAUUACUGUUCCUAUGUAUCUGUUUCUGAAACAUUUGUUAACUUGUCUAUCAGCAUGAUUCAACUGACUGAUAUUUUAGAUAAGGUUGAUUAAUCUAUACUGAUGUACUACAAAUAAUACAGCACAAAGCAAAAUCUUAUUCAAAACAGAUCUUAUAAGCAUGACUGCCAUGCCAAAUAAAUGAAACAUAAAGUUGACAAAGAUAGCAUUGCCUUCAUUCCUAGGAAACCUGUUUACAUCUUGAAAGAGAGAUGCAAGACCCUUCUGGGAAGAAAGAAGCAAGUGAGUCAAUUAGAUGGAUGGGACAGACUGAUUCAGACAGUUCAAUCUAAACAUAGCAUCACAUUCUGGCACUUUGCUUCCUUAGUGACAACAUAAUUUAGAUCCAGAAUGGAUCAUUUAAUAUGGAAGGACAUUGAGAUACUUUCUGUCAUGUAUUAUUUCAAAUUUAUACUUGGGAUCUUGAGACAUGCCUAAUAUUUUCCAACUUUCUCUUGGACUGGAGAGAUAUCGAAUCUAAUUGUUCAACUCAAGAGUUGCAAAGCUCCCAGACUGACCUGAUCAUCCCAAAACUAAGACCUAAAUGGUGGAUCACUAUUUUAACUUCCUUAUUUACUCAUAUCAGCCAAUUCUCUACAGAUCCCCAAAGAAUGGACCAACUCUAUCACAAUGCCAAUAUACAAUAAAGGUAAUAGGACCAACUCAGCUAAUUACCUUAAAAACAGUUUACUAUGUAAAAUCAGUAAACUAUAUGCAAAACAUCUUUAUCAAAAUUUGCUGACUCAAUGAUCCAAGAAAAAAAAAGCGCCAAGGAAUAAAUGGUUUUAGGUCAGGUUUUUCUACUGCUAGACCAAUGUCUAACUCUGUGUCACUUGCCUGCAAAGUAUGCCAGCCCAUCAAAGGUUCCCUAUAUGGUGCAUUUAUAAAAUUGAAAACGUUAAAUCUUUCAGGAAGGAUUUUGAUGAAAGCUAGAAAUCUUUUCCAUCAAUCACUAGCUUCUGUAAUUAAUUAUGAUAAUGCAAUGCAGAUGUAAUGUUUGAAUGAUGAGGAAUUGACUGAUCCAAUCCCAAACACUAAAGGAGUCAAACAAGGCUGCAUACUGCCUCCUAUUUAAUUUGUACAUCAAUUAUAUUAUCCAGGUCUUUUCAGAAUUCCAUCCUCUCACUCUAGCUGGCAAACCAACUUCUAUUUUUUUUAAAUGCUGAUGAUGUAUGUUUUAUACGCUGCUGAUGCUGUUUUUCUUUCUGUAUACCAAAUGGAAUCAUGAUUCAACCCCAUGUAUUUGCUUUUAUUGUUAAGUUUGAAAUGCUGGAACUCAAUUACACAAAAAAACAACGUGGUGGUAUUAUACUAAAGGCAUUCAACCACAUUUGGACAAUCGAUAGAUAUCCAACUGAGCAUAUGAAAUAUUUAAGUAUCUAGACAUGUAUUUCUAUCCUUCAAAUUUCUGCCUGCCCAAACAGCAUCUAAUGCCAUAAUUAGAUAAUACUGUAUUUUUCACUCCAUAAGAUGCACCUAGGUUUAGAGAAGGAAAACAAGACAAAAAAAUUUCAGGCAGAGCCUGAGAGGACUACAGACAGGUGUCCUCUCAUUUGCCAGCUCUGUCUAUUGACUCCUGGACUGUGGAAAAGAGACAGAAAGGCAGGCAAUGACAAAGACAGAAGAGGCGGGGAUCAGCACUGUAAAAGGACCCCACCACUGCGACCUGGCUGCUAUUCACCAAAGACGCACAGACAUUUCCACCCACUUUGGGGGGGGAGUGUCUUAUGGAGCAAAAAAUAUGGUAAUCUGAAGGGGCAAUGGCUAUAAUUCUGUGCUCCCAAUGUUCAAAGCCACUGAAACCCAAAUGUUGAGAUUUUUAUUGUAUGGUGCCUAGAGCUGCACAUACCCAUAUAGAUAGUCCUUGACUUAUGAUCAUUCAUUCUGCAACUUCACAAAAUUACAACAUCACUAAUUAAAGGGACUUAUGACCUCUGACUGACUACAGCACUUCUACAGUCACAUGAACAAAAAUUGGGCACUUCACGGUCUGCUUGCCCUUAUGACUUCAUUGCAGGGUUGCUGCAAAUAAAACAAACAAAAUGUUAAAAAGUUCUGAUGUUU